AUGUUUACUUGCUUUCUCUCAGGCUGUGUUGUCCACUGGGAAAGCAGCAGAAAUACCUGUCAGGCAGGAACCCCUGAAGUGGGCAACACAAGAAGCUCCUUUUAUGAAGGUGCCAAUUGCAAGUAUUCAAGAGUCCUGGAGGUGAAGGGUGACAGCUACCCACUUGCUAUGCUUGGUAUGUGUCAAUACAAUAAUGAAGAAGGCAUUGAUUACCCCCUCUCAUGGUGAGAACCUAUGACAAAAAUGGAAGGGAUAAUUAUGUGUGUAGGACUUAAAUAUCUCCAUUAGAUAGUGUAGGACUUCAUAGGAUGGAGAGAGUAGGUACUUCUGCAGGUGAGGGAACUAGGAAGGGGUGUCUGGAGGAAACUUCCUCGUGCACAGACUUGGGGCAGAUAGAGGAUGAGGCAAAGACACAGACCAGGCUUUUGAUCAUUUAAGAGCUGUUGGAAUCCGAAAAGGGAACAUUUAAGAGGAGGGAUAGGAGUGGGUUAGUUAAUUCUGGUUGUUAAUUUGAUUGGAUCUGGAAUCAAUGAGGAGGCACACCCCUGGAAUAGUCCUUGAGGGAUUUACUAGGAGAUUCAACUGAACUGAGGGGUGAAUACCCUCCCCUGGGGUCAGCAGCACUUUCUAUGGUGUGUGUGGGAACAUCUAUAAAGAGGUCCAAUCUAAGGGGAAAGCAGAACUUGGUUUGCCUGACCACCUGAACUUCUUGCUGGUGCAUGCAUCCCCUGUAUUGCUGCUAGAUGGUUGCUAACCUUCACUGACUUUGGUACCUAGAAUCUUUCACCUUCCAAUAUGAACAGAAGAUCAAUGGCUCUCCAUGCCAGAUUGGGAUGGUUGAAGCAUCCAGUAUCAUGGACUGUCUCUCCAGGCUGAAGAUAACCAUUGUUUGUUUACCAACCUCAUAUUAUGUAAUCCAACACAAUAAAUCCAUUUUAAAUUAAAAGUUAAAUUUAUGU
rnacentral:lncRNA from 1 species